ACGCUCGACACCUACGGGAGGCAGCAGUGAGGAAUAUUGGUCAAUGGGCGCUAGCCUGAACCAGCCAAGUAGCGUGAAGGAUGAAGGCUCUAUGGGUCGUAAACUUCUUUUAUAUAAGAAUAAAGUGCAGUAUGUAUACUGUUUUGUAUGUAUUAUAUGAAUAAGGAUCGGCUAACUCCGUGUCAGCAGCUGCGGUAAUCUGAGCGGGCUGGCAAGGC
rnacentral:rRNA from 1 species